UUUCGGAGGGGGAACCUGCGGAGGGAUCAUU
rnacentral:rRNA from 1 species